UACAGAGGGUGCAAGCGUUAAUCGGAAUUACUGGGCGUAAAGCGUACGUAGGCGGUUUGGUAAGUCAGAUGUGAAAGCCCCGGGCUCAACCUGGGAAUUGCAUUUGAGACUGCCUGGCUAGAAUGCGGUAGAGGGCAGCGGAAUUUCCGGUGUAGCAGUGAAAUGCGUAGAUAUCGGAAGGAACAUCAGUGGCGAAAGCGGCUGCCUGGACCAGCAUUGACGCUCAGGUACGAAAGCGUGGGGAGCAAACAGG
rnacentral:rRNA from 1 species